GUGCCAGCCGCCGCGGUAAUACGGAGGGGGUUAGCGUUGUUCGGAAUUACUGGGCGUAAAGCGCGCGUAGGCGGACAUUUAAGUCAGGGGUGAAAUCCCGGGGCUCAACCCCGGAACUGCCCUUGAUACUGGGUGUCUUGAGUUCGAGAGAGGUGAGUGGAAUUCCGAGUGUAGAGGUGAAAUUCGUAGAUAUUCGGAGGAACACCAGUGGCGAAGGCGGCUCACUGGCUCGAUACUGACGCUGAGGUGCGAAAGUGUGGGGAGCAAACAGGAUUAGAAACCCGGGUAGUCC
rnacentral:rRNA from 1 species